rnacentral:lncRNA from 1 species
CCCAUUAUUCUUUUUUUUUUUCAAUGUCUGAUUCAACCUCAAGUCCUGCCUCUCAAAUUUCUGAGGUCACAAAGGCCUGUCCACUCUCAGUAUGACAGAAUGUGGGCUCUCAUUCUCCCUCAAGGACCUACACUUUGCCUUCUGAUGGGACUUUUCACAGGGCUGCUCUGGAGAAUAGUACUCGGGAACUGGUGGCAGAGAGGAACUGAUGGAACAUGAAGUUCUUCCAUGAACACCCAGCACGAUGGAUCUUCUCUGGUGCCAUUUCACAGGGACCCUGACCAGCUGUCCAACUUCUCUAUCCCAUAGUGUCCUAUCCAUUAAAUGGGAGAAAUAGUUCCCACCCGGGGAAU